rnacentral:rRNA from 1 species
ACCAGACUCCUACGGGAGGCAGCAGUGCGGAAUAUUGGUCCAUGGCCGCAGGGCUGCACCAGCCACGUCGCUUGAGGGAUGCCGGUCCUAUGGAUUGUCCACCUCUUUUGUCCUGGAGCAAAGGGCGCCACGUGUUUCUUUUUGCGAGUCCCUUCCGAAAAAGCCUCGUCUAACUCCUUUCCCGCAGCCGCUGUCCUCCGGAGGAUGCGCUCGUUAUCCGGCUUUAUUGGGUUUAAAGGGUGCGCAGGCGGAAGGUCAAGUCAGAGUGAAAAUUUCGGGGAGCAACCCCGUCGUGCCGUUGAAACUGGCGUUCUUGAGUGAGCGAGAAGGAUGCGGAAUGCGUGGUGUAGCGGUGAAAUGCAUAGAGAUCACGCAGAACUCCGAUUGCGAAGGCAGCAGACCGGCGCUCAACUGACGCUCAUGCACGAAAGCGUGGGUAGCGAACAGGAUUAGGUACCCUUGUAA